GGCGAACGCUGGCGGCGUGCUUAACACAUGCAAGUCGAACGGUGAAAGCGGAGCUUGCUCCGCUGGAUCAGUGGCGAACGGGUGAGUAACACGUGGGCAACCUGCCCCUCACUUCGGGAUAACUCCGGGAAACCGGGGCUAAUACAGGAUAUGACCUCCUUGGGCAUCCUUGGGGGUGGAAAGUUUUUCGGUGAGGGAUGGGCCCGCGGCCUAUCAGCUGGUUGGUGAGGUAGUGGCUCACCAAGGGGACGACGGGUAGCCGGCCUGAGAGGGUGACCGGCCACACUGGGACUGAGACACGGCCCAGACUCCUACGGGAGGCAGCAGUGGGGAAUAUUGCGCAAUGGGCGAAAGCCUGACGCAGCAACGCCGCGUGCGGGAUGACGGCCUUCGGGUUGUAAACCGCUUUCAGCAGGGAAGAAGCCGCAAGGUGACGGUACCUGCAGAAGAAGCACCGGCUAACUACGUGCCAGCAGCCGCCGUAA
rnacentral:rRNA from 1 species